rnacentral:rRNA from 1 species
UACGUAGGGUGCGAGCGUUGUCCGGAAUUAUUGGGCGUAAAGGGCUCGUAGGCGGUUUGUCGCGUCGGGAGUGAAAACCUUGGGCUUAACUCAGGGCUUGCUUUCGAUACGGGCAGACUAGAGGUAUGCAGGGGAGAACGGAAUUCCUGGUGUAGCGGUGAAAUGCGCAGAUAUCAGGAGGAACACCGGUGGCGAAGGCGGUUCUCUGGGCAUGAUCUGACGCUGAGGAGCGAAAGCGUGGGGAGCGAACAGG